CUGGACCCCUUCUGUUACCAUGUCAACAGCGUCGUGCAUCGCGUUUCACGGAUAAACGCUUAGAAAGUAUAUGCAUGGACACAGUCGAUGUGAGUUAAUGUUUCAACAUUUUAAUUUCCCCAUCUCUUGAGGUUCCUGUGUUCGCGAGGGCUUCACAUGUAUUCUUCCCGUUUCCCCAACGGAUUGUUGAGGCCGUCCCUGCCUAUCUGCGGCCCGUAAGAGGAUUUGAUAUGAAGACAGAGCGGUCGUAAUCCCCAAGUAAACUGUCUUAGAGGAAUCAUUAUAGAAACAAUUUUCCCUUAAUCUUUUUCAAAUCUACUUUUAUUCAAAUCAAAUUACGCACACUGGGAUUACAGACCACAGCGCGACCUGCUUCGACCUAUUUGACUCUUUGAGUGCUGAGAACAAUAGCCUACAGUGCACGUAGGUCUACCAGGACAUCUAGCACAGCUGAGCCGGUCCGCUGGAAUGACGCACAACACAGAAAAAUAGAACUAUAGUCUUCUGAAUGAUGUAAAAUAAAAAAUAAAGGAAUGGAUUUUCCAACCGCCGUCAGACUGCGUUAAGAUUGUUGUUGCUUUUUGAAAUAGCGAACACUAGGGGUUGAACUCAAACUCGCUGUAGAGGUAGGCUAGUCUACCGCUCACCGCCUUGUCUCCCUCCCUGCCUUACUCGAAACAGUGCGAGCGUCACAACGCUACAGUUUUACGACUAACGGGAACGGUGGUUGUCUUCGGAGCAUAGAUUUUCUCUUUGUCCCGUGGAGGAAUCAUCGAAGAUUACGUCCACUACCGGGGCGUCUGGCGGAGCAUUACCCAGGAUUGAGACAAGACCAGAACAUUGACGGAUAACAUAACAAAGUUCUCGGAACAUUGACAUUCAGAGAAAUGUCCUGCAUGAAGCAAACAGCCCAGGAGCAGGUCAUGUGACUUGGUCUCAGCUCCUCAGAGGAAGCAUGGCUCCUGAGGACCUGGAAGGAUCUCCAGAAUCCAGCUGAACACUCAACCACCAGAUCCACCAGAACAGUAACCAGGCAG